rnacentral:rRNA from 1 species
GUGGAUUAGAUACCCUGGUAGUCCACGCCCUAAACGAUGAUAACUCGAUGUUGGCGAUAGACAGCCAGCGUCCAAGCGAAAGCGUUAAGUUAUCCACCUGGGGAGUACGCCCGCAAGGGUGAAACUCAAAGGAAUUGACGGGGGCCCGCACAAGCGGAGGAGCAUGUGGUUUAAUUCGAUGAUACGCGAGGAACCUUACCCGGGCUUGAAAGUUAGUGAAGAGUGCAGAGACGCACUCGUCCUUCGGGACACGAAACUAGGUGCUGCACGGUCGUCGACAACU